rnacentral:misc_RNA from 1 species
AACUUGCUACAACGUAUCUCUUGGCUCUGGCAUCGAUUAAGAACGCAGCGAAAUGCGAUAAGUAGUGUGAAUUGCAGAAUUCAGUGAAUCAUCGAAUCUUUGAACGCACAUUGCGCCCCUUGGUAUUCCAUGGGGCAUGCCUGUUCGAGCGUCAUCUACACCCUCAAGCUCUGCUUGGUGUUGGGCGUCUGUCCCGCCUCUGCGCGUGGACUCGCCCCAAAUUCAUUGGCAGCGGUCCUUGCCUCCUCUCGCGCAGCACAUUGCGCUUCUCGAGGUGCGCGGCCCGCGUCCACGAAGCAACAUUACCGUCUUUGACCUCGGAUCAGGUAGGGAUACCCGCUGAACUUAAGCAUAUCAAUAAGCGGAGGC